UACGAAGGGGGCUAGCGUUGCUCGGAAUCACUGGGCGUAAAGGGUGCGUAGGCGGGUCUUUUAAGUCAGGGGUGAAAUCCUGGAGCUCAACUCCAGAACUGCCUUUGAUACUGAGGAUCCUGAGUUCGGGAGAGGUGAGUGGAACUGCGAGUGUAGAGGUGAAAUUCGUAGAUAUUCGCAAGAACACCAGUGGCGAAGGCGGCUCACUGGCCCGAUACUGACGCUGAGGCACGAAAGCGUGGGGAGCAAACAGG
rnacentral:rRNA from 1 species